rnacentral:snoRNA from 10 species
CUUUCGGGUCCCCAUUGCAGCCCCCGGAUGAGCCCGCAGUAUUUUCCUUAUAUGAUCAGGUCCCAUUGCGGGCGGCGCCGCUUGCCCGGAGCCUGAGAGGAUUAUGAAAACGUGGCGAGCGAAAUGGGGCCAGGGGACCUGGAG